ensembl:ncRNA F35G2.8 ncRNA
CACCAAAAAUCCAAAUGAGAGGGUGGAGCUUCCCCUCGGGGGCUUAUUCACACAAACUGGUCUCAGAAUGUUUAACACUGCAUGUAGAUAGAUCCAUCAUGUGAUCCAGGUGAUUUCCUCUCCGGAUGCUUUUCCGAGCAACAUU